AUAAAAUAAACAAUUUAAAUAAUCAAGGCUUUCAAAGCAGACACAAAUGACUUAGAGUUUGCUCCAGGCAAACAGGUUAAAAGCAGUAGAAACAGACCGAGAAUUCGGUCUGCUGAAUUAGAAACUUUAAUUCCAGUA